UUUUCACCUCCUCGCCCCCCCCCCCUCCCCCCAUUUUUUUCCCAUUACACCCUGCUCAGGAUGUGGCCAGACUUUUGAGUCAUCUCCAUCCCAAGAGUGUCGCAAAUAAUUUUACUAUUUUGAUCUAGUACAAGCAUAUCAUUGGACUCUUGUUUGCUAGAAGAACAAACUUAAUAAUGCUGAUCUCCCUUUGCCUUUCCACCUGGACAUGAUUUUUCUUGACACAUUAGCAAUUUAGCGUAAGUCUUGAUUUAAUAUCUUCUUGUUAUUGUCUCCCUUGGUUCGCAAUAUAUAUAUAUAUAUAUAUAUGUAUAUAAUUCUACCAAAGUGUAAGAAAGACUUACAGUAAAUUACCAGAAAUGUGUUCGUUAUAAGAAAUGGCUAAUGGUAAUUUUUUUUUUUUAAUUGUCUUUUUCGGUUUGUCACUUCCUCUCAAACCCCCCCCCCCCCCU